GACAGGGCAGGGGUGUGGGACCCCAGGGUGGGAGCACAGGACCCUGAGGGGGGGUGAUUCCCUGAGGUGGGGGGUGUGGGACCCCAGGACCCUGAGAUGGGGGUGUUUGGGACCCUGAGAUGGGGGUGUGGGACCCCAGGACCCUGAGGUGGGGGGGGGGUGUGAUUCCCCGAGGUGGGGGGUGUGGGCAGCCGGCCUGGGACUGGGCCCUCUCUGUCCCUGGCCCCCUUACCGGCCUUGGGCUGGAUCUGCCUGGAGUCGGGCAUGGGGGAC